GGUGAGGUGUCCGAGUGGCUGAAGGAGCACGCCUGGAAAGUGUGUAUACGGCAACGUAUCGAGGGUUCGAAUCCUUCCCUCACCGCCA
rnacentral:tRNA from 1 species